UGAGCAUUCAAUUUGAGUGCACAGGACGGAUCUUAGCAGAUUGACUAUACAUAGAGAGAGGUGGCAGAUAAAAAAGGAAAAACAAAUCAGAGGAACAAAACAUUAAAAAGUUAUUACAAUCAUGCAAGAGGUAAGACCCACAUAAAUAUCGGAGCAGCUUUCCAGUGGUGGAGAGAAGUUAAGGAGCGGGAAGGCCUGGAAUCUGAUGCCAAAGUUGUGUUGUUUCUUCUUGAAAGGGGAAUACUAUCCUCCUUCCUCUCAGGUGACUAAAACAAGCCUUAUGGAGGGUCAUUGACCCAGUAUGCCACACUAAAGUCCAGUCAAUAACAGAAGCAGUGAGGGACAGACAGUAUGUCCCGGCAACACUAACCAACUCUACAUUAGCACUCAAUGAAAACAGAGCAACAAAGAAAAGAAUCUGGUUUUAUAUGUGACUAUGUUUUAUACGUGACUGUGACUUUUAUACGAUUCUCCAGAGAAAACAUUGAAGAGUCAAAAACCGUGGUUCCAUGGGAUUCGAACCAGAGCUCCUCGCCUCCGAACUCCGUGAGCUACCGAACAAACCUUCCACCUCUGAAAACCCAUAGAUAUGAAGCUGGAUAUGUGCG
ensembl:lncRNA